rnacentral:rRNA from 1 species
AUGUGCAUUGACUCCGCUUUGAAGCAAAUAAAAGGUAUAACAAAAUAUUUUGAGAAGUACAGAGAUGAGGGGUUUUCUUCAAGUCUGACCAUCGCUAAAGGUAUUGCAACUGAAAUGGGAAUAGAGCCAUUGUUUCCAGUGAAACAUCGUGCUAAGAGGAAGAAACAGUAUGAUGAAAGUGAUUGUCAAGAAGAAAUCCUGGAAGCUGAGAAGGCUUUCCAAGUUAAAUAUUUUAAUGUUUUGGUUGAUAUGGCGAUCACUUCUUUGGAUGAUAGAUUUAAAGAAGUCAUGGUCUUUAAAGAUAUAUUCGGAUUUUUAUUGAGCUCAGGCACUCUCAUGUCAUUAAGUGACAAUGAACUUGAAGAAUGUUGCACAAAAUUUGCAGAAACUUUCUCUCUUAAUGGUUCAUCUGAUGUUGAGUUAUACGAUCUUAUUUCUGAAUUAAAGAUUAUGAGAUUCACUUUGCCAGAUGGCGCAAUGUCUGCUAUGGAGAUUUUCACGCAUGUCAGAGAAGUUGAUUGUUACCCCAAUAUAUCCAUUGUCUAUCGCAUCUUAUUUACUGUGCCUAUGACGGUCGCAUCGGCCGAGAGAAGCUUUUCGAAGUUGAAAUUAUUGAAGAAUUAUUUGAGGUCAACCAUGACUCAAGAGAGGUUAAAUGGUUUGGCCACAUUAUGCAUCGAGAAGAAAUUAUUGGAUGAGAUUGACAUCGACCCCAUCAUAAGUGACUUUGCAUCGAGGAAUGUUAGAAGAAAAUUUUAA